GCCUGUAUAGUCUAACGGCUAGGAUAUCCCCCUGUCACGGGAAAGAUCCGGGUUCGAUUCCCGGUACAGGCG
rnacentral:tRNA from 3 species